ACUGCUCACCCGCCUGAUCUCUAUGGUCUCCGUCUGCGCAUGUGUGGCAUAGGCCCCACCUCUCCCUUUCCUCCCGCGCGGGCCACGUGAGGAGAUUCUGGAGCCUUCAGGUUGUCCCCAGUGCGCAAGCAGCAGGACGAGGCCCAGGACUUUUCGGGCCUGCACGUUUGCUGAGAGUGGUGUUUCUGUGGAGGGGGCAGAAGGUGGACGUCUUAGGAAGCCUUGCCACCCAGUCGGGACCCCACAGGGACUCCGCAGUGCCUGGGUGUGGCCUGGACCUCGCCCGGGAAAGCUGAAUCUUCACAGGCCUCUCUAAUGUCUGAAGUGCUCCAGAAAAUGAAUCUAUUUGAGGAUCUCCAGUUUUCUUCCAUAUUACAUUAUUCCUCUUACACUGUCAUGGCCAUGAUUGGAAGUUGCUGUUCAGAGUCUUAUUUAAACUCCUGUACAUGGAGAAUCCAGGAUGCAGUUUUACAAAACCAGAGGUAGUCUUCAAGUUGGAGCAAUGGAAAGGUCCAUUGUUAUUAGAGGAAGAAUUUCCAAGCAGGAGUCAUGCAGGGUGAUAGUCCAGGUUGCUGAUGCCACCACCAUAAUUCAUCACCAGAGAUGGAGAAACUCUGUACCAUGAUGCCAGCUGGGCAAGGAAGAUCACUUUGCUGAAUGCUGGCAGGACUGAUUCAGUAGUUAUGCGGGCUCUGAGCUCCUGUGGCUGCCUUUAGCAUCUGGAUGCUGUAACUUGGAAGUUUGGCUAAGAUAUUUUUGUGAAGUCUACUUCUACAGUGUGGAGCGGUGUGAAACCUCAGAGGAUACAUGAAUAGGUCCAUAAACCUCACAUUGUCACCCUGGAAAUGGAACUUCAUAUGGCUGUCGGGGAGCUGCCCAAAAAGCCACCUACAAGGGAUCCUAGGAAGGCUGGCUGUGUACCUCCUGGGUAAUCAACAGUUACGCAGACAAGCACAUUACACUCCAUGGGAGCUGUCCUUUCAGGAACUUGGUUUUGAACUGUAGAGGCUCCCACUGUGUCUUCUGAAGGUCAUGAUAAAAAAUCCUGUCUACUGAGAAUGUGAGAGAGAGAUUUUGAUGGACAGUAAAUACAUCAUUUUAGAAGUGUGCUUUGGUAUCAGUUGAUCAGCUUUUGCCUCACCUGUUUUGAUAAGGAUUCUCAUAAUGAUAAAUAUAUCAAUUCUCCAAAAGACAGCAAUUUUAAAUGUGUAUGCGCCUAACAAAAAGGAUUUCAAAAUGCAGAUCCUGCUACCCACCUCCCCCAACGACAACUUGGCAUUCAUCCACAGACACAGGUGACUUUCUGGGAGAUGAGAUUUCAGCACCACGUACCAAGGGUCCUUGGAGGAGUCUUGCCCAUCCAUGUGGAAGGAAUUGGUCCUGCCUGUGGACACUGUAGUAGCCCAUGAAUCUGCUCCAGCUCUGCUCAGCUGGGCUCCAGAAGUCCCUAAAGAACACUGAUUCUGACAAUCACUCAUGGGGCCACACAGAUCUGAGUCGAGUCUGAGACU